GACGAACGCUGGCGGCGUGCUUAACACAUGCAAGUCGAACGGAAAGGCCCUGCUUGCAGGGUACUCGAGUGGCGAACGGGUGAGUAACACGUGGGUGAUCUGCCCUGCACUUCGGGAUAAGCCUGGGAAACUGGGUCUAAUACCGGAUAGGAGCCAUUUUUAGUGUGAUGGUUGGAAAGUUUUUUCGGUGUAGGAUGAGCUCGCGGCCUAUCAGCUUGUUGGUGGGGUAAUGGCCUACCAAGGCGGCGACGGGGAGCCGGCCUGGGAGGGUGGACGGCCACAUUGGGACUGGGAUACGGCCCAGACUCCUACGGGGGGCAGCAGUGGGGAAUUUUGGACAAUGGGCGCAAGCCUGAUGCAGGGACGCCGCGGGGGGGAUGACGGCCUUCGGGUUGUAAACUCCUUUCGCUAGGGACGAAGCUUUUUGUGACGGUACCUAGAUAAGAAGCACCGGCUAACUACGUG
rnacentral:rRNA from 1 species